GACUCCAUGAAGCUGGAUUCGCUAGUAAUCGCGCAUCAGCCACGGCGCGGUGAAUACGUUCCCGGGCCUUGUACACACCGCCCGUCAAGCCAUGGGAGCCGGGGUGCCUGAAGGCCGUGACCGCGAGGAGCGGCCUAGGGUAAAACUGGUGACUGGGGCUAAGUCGUAACAAGGUACC
rnacentral:rRNA from 1 species